rnacentral:rRNA from 1 species
GUCUACAUCCAUGCCACCCUGAACAAGCACGAUCCCAUCUGAUCUUGGAAGUUAAGUAUCGGGCCUGGUUAGUAUUUGGAUGGGAGACCACCUAGGAAGACCUGGUACUAUAGGCG